rnacentral:rRNA from 1 species
GAUGAACGCUGGCGGCGUGCCUAACACAUGCAAGUCGAGCGAAAUGUAUAUGGACGAAACUUCGGUCUAGGAAAUAUAUUGACAGCGGCGGACGGGUGAGUAACGCGUAGGCAACCUGCCCUUAACACAGGGAUAGCCUAGGGAAACCGGGAUUAAAACCUGAUAAUGCCAAAUAGUCACAUGGCUGUUUGGCCAAAGAUUUAUCGGUUAAGGAUGGGCCUGCGUCUGAUUAGUUUGUUGGUGGGGUAACGGCCUACCAAGACUACGAUCAGUAGCCGACCUGAGAGGGUGAUCGGCCACAUUGGAACUGAGACACGGUCCAAACUCCUACGGGAGGCAGCAGUGGGGAAUAUUGCACAAUGGGCGAAAGCCUGAUGCAGCAACGCCGCGUGAGCGAUGAAGGCCUUUGGGUCGUAAAGCUCUGUCCUUGGGGAAGAAACAAAUGACGGUACCCAAGGAGGAAGCCCCGGCUAACUACGUGCCAGCCGCCGCAGUAA